rnacentral:tRNA from 1 species
GGGCUGGGGCUUAGUGGCAGAGUGCUCACCUAGCAUGCGUGAGGCACUGGGUUUGAUCCUCAGCACCACA